AGGCAGUGUAUUGUUAGUUUGCUGUUGAAACUAACCAGCAACUACGUACACUACCACA
rnacentral:pre_miRNA from 1 species